rnacentral:lncRNA from 1 species
GUGGCUUCCCACUCACGUUUCGCGCUGAAAAUUACACCGAAUUUGGUUUUUCAUAUCAGCUGCAGUCUAAGAAAUUUUCCAAUUAUAAUAUCGAAAUAUAAGAAAAUUUUUUAAUAAUCCAUACAGCAGAAAGGGUUAAUACUUGGCUCGACAAGGGCGCGGCAGCGAUGUGAAUCUAUUUUCUACUUGCGUCAGCAUUAGCGACCGCUCGAUUAAGUUACAGGUUAAGUUGAAGAUCCGAUCAAUUCGUCCAAAAAAUUUAUCAAUAUCGAAGGCUUCCAUUCUUUAUUUGGAGUUGCUAGGUGGUUUAGGCCCAGUCACGCAUGAAGCAAAAAGGAUUAAGAUCUUACGAGGCAUAGGAGGCUGCCAUGUAAUUCGGAGAUUUAUGGUGGCUGAUUCGUCAUUUGGAUAUACAUGACAUCGUCUUCAGACACCUGUCACAGUGCAAGACCGUGUGGAACAAGAUGAUUACAAAACCAAUAUAGAGUUCUCGAGCUUGCUAUAGUUACAUCCUGAAGAAACUGGAGAUUCAUGCAGUACGUGUUCGGCUGCACACAUUCAGUAUUCAGCAACAGCCCAUUGACACACCAUAAUGGAACCGAAAAGACUACCAGUUGAAAUGUCAUUUGCACUAGAUAGACCUGUUCUGCGAUGAAUGAUCUAUGAGACAUUAUAAGUGCAAAAAAAUUUUGUAACAUAUUUCUAAUUCUGAAGUUAUUAUCCCCAACACUACACCUAUAAAUCGAUAAAUAAUAAUGUAAGAAAAUUUCGUAAAUUUUAAUUUAUUGUUUCUGCAUGAACACUUACUUUUAA